rnacentral:rRNA from 1 species
GGCUGAAAUUGCCUUCAUGAAGCUGGAAUUGCUAGUAAUGGCAGGUCAGCAUACUGCCGUGAAUACGUUCCCGGGCCUUGUACACACCGCCCGUCACACCAUGAGAGUUGGAAAUACCCGAAGCCUGUGAGCUAACAGUAAUGAGGCAGCAGUCGAAGGUAGAGCCAAUGAUUGGGGUGAAGUCGUAACAAGGUAGC